AAGUAUAUUGGGAUUGAUAGGAGCUUGUAAGGUUAGGUUUAAUUGAUCAGAAUAAUAUAACACAUAAUUAAAUAAGCCAUUUUUAUAGGAAUUCAAACAUUUUGUACAUUUUAUUCAAGACAUAAGAAUAGUGAAUUUUAUAAAUGAGGUUCAAAUCAUUUUUGAGCAAAACGAAAAGAAAUAAUACAUAAUAUAAAUAUUUUAAACAUGUUAUGAUAUGACAAAACAAAAAAACAAAUUACUGAACAAUAUAAAUUAACUACCUAACUAGGUAUCUUUUACCAAGAUUUAUUAGAUUUUUUGCUAUAAAUAUAAGUACAUAAGUAUAACUAAGUUAUAAUCCUAAUUAAUGUAUAUUCAUUAUAAUAUUUUUAAUUACAAUAAUUUUAGAUUUCACAAGUUUAAUAUAUUUUUGAUACAUUUGCACGAAUCAAAAGUGUAAUAUUAUGGUAUAUUGUGAAAAUAAGUAGUACAACUAUACAAGUUAAUAAUACUUCAAAUUUUAUUAUUUUCCAUAUUAAAUUUUUACGAAUAUGUCAGGCUGCACUAUGUUACAAACAUCAUAAUAAUAUUAAAUUAUGAUUGGAAACAUUGUUUAUAAAUCAAUAAUUGGCAAUCUAU